GCUGGGCAUGGUGGCGCAUGCCUGUAAUCCCAGCUACUCAGGAAGCUGAGGUGGGCGAAUCGCUUGAACCCAGGAGAUGGAGGUUGCAGUGAGCCGAGAUCACACCACUGCACUCCAGCCUGGGUGACAGAGCGAGACUCCAUCUCAA
rnacentral:SRP_RNA from 1 species